rnacentral:rRNA from 1 species
UACGUAGGUGGCAAGCGUUGUCCGGAUUUACUGGGCGUAAAGGGCGCGCAGGCGGCUCAUUUUGUCAGGCGUGAAAGCCCCGGGCUUAACCUGGGAACUGCGUUUGAUACGGAUGGGCUAGAGUUCGGGAGAGGAGAGUGGAAUUCCCAGUGUAGAGGUGAAAUUCGUAGAUAUUGGGAAGAACACCGGUGGCGAAGGCGGCUCUCUGGACCGAGACUGACGCUGAGGCGCGAAAGCGUGGGGAGCAAACAGG